AUGAGAUGGCUGUGGCGGAUUGCCAACGGUGAGGGUGGCCUGUGGCUCCGACUCAUCCAGCAGAAAUACCUCCGUGGCCAGCCACUUGCCUUCUGCCAGCGGUCUGGAGGCUCCCAGUUCUGGCAAUCCAUCAUACAGCUCUUGCCGAUCCUCCGCAUCGGCACCUUGAUUGCGGUUGGCUCGGGCACCUCCACGGUGUUCUGGUUCGAUAGAUGGGCUGGAGACGUAACCCUCGCGGCACGCUUCCCCGACCUAUUCUCCAUCACGGGUGAACCGCGGAUCUCUGUCGCGACGGUCCUCAUUGACUUAGGUCAACUCGCGUUCCGGAGAGCGUUUGGCCCGGCUGAGAACGCAGACUGGCAUGAGCUGCUGGAGUGCAUCGCGCUGCACGAGCCUGAUCUCAAGGGUGGAGAAGACCGUGCCAGGUGGCGGCUAGAGCCAUUUGGGAAAUUCUCCACCAAAUCUCUAUACCAGGCCAUCGCACCUUCGCUGGGGCAUGAGGCCCUCACCACCAUCUGGGAGAUUCGGUUCCCCUUGAAGAUUAGGAUUUUCUUGUGGCAGUGGAUUCGCGGCCGCCUCCCAUCUGCCGUGGAUGUUCUGAAGCGCAAUGGCCCUAGGGAUGGGCGUUGCCCGCUCUGUGGGCCGAAAGAGGAUUCGAACCAUAUCUUCUUCGCCUGCGUGUCCGCGCAGUUCCUAUGGAGCUGUUUCCGUGAAAUAGUGGGUGGAAGCUGGGACCACAACAACAUCCCCGCUCUUUUCGCCGAACUUCGGGCGUUAGCUCCCCCAAUUCGCCACAUUAGGUGGCUGGUCAUCGGGGUGCUAACCUGGACACUGUGGACUGUUAGGAAUAAACUUGUGAUUCGGCGCAUUCCUCUCCGACGUGCUACUAGCGCUUUGUUCAAAUUGUCGGUGUGGGAGUCCUGGAUUAGGGGGUCUCCGGACAGCCGGACUAUCUCCAUUGGCCGGACUGUUAGACUAUGA
rnacentral:rRNA from 1 species